AUGGGGACACAGAGAGACGCAAGGAAAAGUCCUGGGGAGAAGUCCAGAAGUUUCCUCGCAAGCCUGUGGAAGGCAAAGGGCCAGCUUCUAGUACAGGACAGGGAGAACCAGAAAGUUCAGGUCACUCAACUGCAAAACGAAGGUCAUGUUGCCCGCCGCGGAGCCUGCUCUGGGAGCUGCGUGGACUGGUACAGCGGCCAGGGGGGCCCAGCUGAGGAUGAACCGGCUGCCUGAGAAGACGGUGUGGUCCCGUCACCGAGGGGACUCCUGUGAAAACUGCUGAGGUCCUGCCAGUGUCUCUUGGGGAGGAAGUGGCCAGACGGAGGCUCCAAGUCAGCGAUCUUUCCCUCCACCACCUCCUGUGCUUCCUCCUGCCCCUUUCUACUUUCAUCUCAUCUUGUU